rnacentral:rRNA from 1 species
UACGAAGGGGGCUAGCGUUGCUCGGAAUUACUGGGCGUAAAGGGCGCGUAGGCGGAUAUUUAAGUUGGGGGUGAAAUCCCGGGGCUCAACCUCGGAAUUGCCUUCAAAACUGGAUAUCUUGAGUUCGGGGAGAGGUGAGUGGAACUCCGAGUGUAGAGGUGAAAUUCGUAGAUAUUCGGAAGAACACCAGGUGGCGAAAGGCGGCUCACUGGGCCCGG